CCUUCCUCCCUCUCACACAUCACCUCCGUCGCCGCCAGCCUUCCUCCGGUGCCGCCGUCACGCCACCGCCACUUCCGGCGGUGGUCCUUCUUCCUCUUCCUCUCUUUCUCUCCCUCGGUUCCCCCUUCACCGUUGGCAUGCAGAGGCAGCGGCUUCGCCGCCCUCCUCCCGGCAGUCCGGCCGUCUCCGGACAACAGCGGAUCGGUGCUCCCUCUCUCUCUCUCUCGCCGCCGCCACAGCCGAGACCUCUGCCCCAUGUUGAACUCCCGAAAGGUUGGUGAAAUUAAUGAAGAAUCGGGAUGCGGGGCUGCCACGGUCGGCGACGGCGUGCCGAAACUCAGUCACUGGAAAUCUGGCAGAUUUGCAUUCUUGAGAUAAGUUCUUAACUUGUGCUUACUGUAGUUGUAGAACUUGGUUUAUCUGUUUUAUGAAUUCGACGAAUUUGAACAAUUGUCUUACUACUAAAAGACUUGAUGGUGAAAUCAUGUUGAGCUUAUGUGUGUUGGGAAUUUCACUUAGGCUGAUUCUAGUUGCCUAUUUAUAUAUGCAUACUUGUACAUAUAUGAAAGAAAGAAAAAAAAGGCUUGGAGUUUACCUUAAUUUGGUGGUAAAAAUAUGUUGUUGGAUAGUGGGACUUGGCAGUGGGAAAAAAAUGUUGUUGGAUUGUGGAACUUGGCCCUAUAAUUUAUCUGCAACUCUCCACUUCUCUUUGACUCCUUGUCUCUACUUUGAAUUUGUUGAAGGAUUUUAAAGUGAUCUCUUAUUGUUUUGAGAGGGGCGAUGGAGAGGGAAUGUUAAUUCCUAUGUAUAUACAUAUAUGUUUUGCCAAGCCUAUCUUGUACAUAUAUCUCUUAUUUUGAUAUGUUUAGAUCCUUUGCAGAGAUUUGAUAUCUUAUUUGUUUACAUGGCAUAAUCUACUCCGUCAAAUCUUGUGAUGAAAUCUUCAAAGAUUAUAUGCAUUAAAUGCACACAGCCCACUUGCAAAAUCCUACUUAUAUCUCAUCAUAAUUUAUUUGAUAUAAUACGUGAAUCUUCAUAAAUGAAUGCCUAGGUAAAUCUUUGAGAAAAUCUUUAAAUCCAUAAUGCUACAUUAUAUUUUGAUUUUGGCAUUAAGUUCAAGAUCUUAUAUAAUUUCCACUCUCACCCAAAACCAAUUUAUGCAGGAACAUUCAUUUGGGAUGUUGGUGAUAUACAGGAUCGGCCCUAUUUUUUUAUUUGUUUAUUAAAUUAAUUAUUUAAGUAUUUGUUCACUUAUUCUUUUAAUUUGGUGUAGGUAUAAUUGGUUUAAGUUCGUGACUAUCCGAGCUGAAGUACCCGAUUUUCUUAGAACGCAUGAUGUAUAGAUUAAAUUUUGUUGGACUUUUGUUGGAUGUAUCGGACAUUAAAAUUUUGAUUUUGGGAUCUUAUUUAUUUAUUUAAAUUUAUUAUAUUCA